rnacentral:rRNA from 1 species
AACGAACGCUGGCGGCAGGCUUAACACAUGCAAGUCGAACGCCCCGCAAGGGGAGUGGCCGACGGGUGAGUAACGCGUGGGAACAUACCCUUUUCUACGGAAUAGCUCUGGGAAACUGGAAUUAAUACCGUAUACGCCCUACGGGGGAAAGAUUUAUCGGGGAAGGAUUGGCCCGCGUUGGAUUAGCUAGUUGGUGGGGUAAAGGCCUACCAAGGCGACGAUCCAUAGCUGGUCUGAGAGGAUGAUCAGCCACAUUGGGACUGAGACACGGCCCAAACUCCUACGGGAGGCAGCAGUGGGGAAUAUUGGACAAUGGGCGCAAGCCUGAUCCAGCCAUGCCGCGUGAGUGAUGAAGGCCUUAGGGUUGUAAAGCUCUUUCACCGAUGAAGAUAAUGACGGUAGUCGGAGAAGAAGCCCCGGCUAACUUCGCG